rnacentral:rRNA from 1 species
GAGCGGCGGACGGGUGAGUAACGCGUGGGUAACCUACCCUGUACACACGGAUAACAUACCGAAAGGUAUGCUAAUACGGGAUAAUAUAUUUGAGAGGCAUCUCUUGAAUAUCAAAGGUGAGCCAGUACAGGAUGGACCCGCGUCUGAUUAGCUAGUUGGUAAGGUAACGGCUUACCAAGGCGACGAUCAGUAGCCGACCUGAGAGGGUGAUCGGCCACAUUGGAACUGAGACACGGUCCAAACUCCUACGGGAGGCAGCAGUGGGGAAUAUUGCACAAUGGGCGAAAGCCUGAUGCAGCAACGCCGCGUGAGUGAUGAAGGCCUUCGGGUCGUAAAACUCUGUCCUCAAGGAAGAUAAUGACGGUACUUGAGGAGGAAGCCCCGGCUAACUACGUGCCAGCAGCCGCGGUAAUACGUAGGGGGCUAGCGUUAUCCGGAUUUACUGGGCGUAAAGGGUGCGUAGGCGGUCUUUCAAGUCAGGAGUGAAAGGCUACGGCUCAACCGUAGUAAGCUCUUGAAACUGGGAGACUUGAGUGCAGGAGAGGAGAGUGGAAUUCCUAGUGUAGCGGUGAAAUGCGUAGAUAUUAGGAGGAACACCAGUUGCGAAGGCGGCUCUCUGGACUGUAACUGACGCUGAGGCACGAAAGCGUGGGGAGCAAACAGGAUUAGAUACCCUGGUAGUCCACGCUGUAAACGAUGAGUACUAGGUGUCGGGGGUUACCCCCUUCGGUGCCGCAGCUAACGCAU